rnacentral:rRNA from 1 species
UACGUAGGACCCAAGCGUUAUCCGGAUUGACUGGGCGUAAAGAGUUGCGUAGGUGGUUUGUUAAGCGAAUCGUGAAAUCUUGUGGCUCAACCAUAAGGCUAUUAUUCGAACUGGCAAACUCGAGAGCGGAAGAGGUAUCUGGAAUUCCAAGUGUAGGAGUGAAAUCCGUAGAUAUUUGGAGGAACACCAAUGGCGUAGGCAGGAUACUGGUCCGUUUCUGACACUGAGGCACGAAAGCGUGGGGAGCGAACGGG